rnacentral:tRNA from 1 species
CGAUGGUCAUCGGUUCGAUUCCGAUAGCCGGCUUUCCCUAUUUGUUUGCUUUUUUACUUUUUUACAUGAUUGA